UCUCAAGGUCGCCAGCGGUUCGCCCUUACUUUUGGUCCUCCCAGACUCGUGUGUGUCAUAGUAGUGGUAGUAUAUCCUCCUCCACAGGUGUUACACUUCCGUGAAGGUGCUGCCCACCUGGGGUGUGUGGCUGACGAGUGUUGAUUGCACCCAUUUUAAAGGAAGACAAAAUUCCUGGCCUUUCGGUCCUGCACAAUUGAGGGAUCACAACUCCUCGUCCUCUGCGCGCUGAAAGAGCUACAGCCUGAACUGCCUCCUCCCGGCCCAGUGCUGAGGAUAAAUGUAAGGAGGGACUGAACAUCGUAUAAUGCCGACUUGAAGACUAUCAUCAGAAUCAUGAAAACAUCCUUUAAAAUCCUUGUAACGCUUUAGGUUCAAAUAAAGAUAAUUUUUAAACACUGCAGGGAUCACGAUUAGCUGAAUACUCAUUAUCUCUCCUUUUCACUGAUGUUGUAGUCUUUGAAACUAUUACUAAAAACCCAUGAAAACACUCUUGAAAACACUGGCAUCGUCCACAACAGUCUUGGAAGUAGUCGAGAUAAGACAUCCAGUACGUUAUAUGAACAUUUAUUUACUAUCAGAAUGUGUGUGAGCGUUUAUCUCCCGUUACAUUCAAUACUUUUGUACUUGUAUGAAAUCCGCAACAAUAUAUUCAUGCAUCAUGUCAUUUAAAAUA